rnacentral:rRNA from 1 species
CCUACGGGGGGCUGCAGUGAGGAAUAUUGGUCAAUGGGCGCGAGCCUGAACCAGCCAAGUCGCGUGAGGGAUGAAGGUUCUAUGGAUCGUCAACCUCUUUUAUAAGGGAAUAAAGUGUGGGACGUGUCCUAUUUUGUAUGUACCUUAUGAAUAAGGAUCGGCUAACUCCGUGCCAGCAGCCGCGGUAAUACGGAGUAUCCGAGCGUUAUCCGGAUUUAUUGGGUUUAAAGGGUGCGUAGGCGGCCUUGUAAGUCAGCGGUGAAAGUCUGUGGCUCAACCAUAGAAUUGCCGUUGACACUGGUGGGCUUUAGUAUGUUUGAGGCAGGCGGAAUGCGUGGUGUAGCGGUGAAAUGCUUAGAUAUCACGCAGAACCCCGAUUGCGAAGGAAGCCUGCCAAGCCAUGACUGACGCUGAUGCACGAAAGCGUGGGGAUCAAACAGGAUUAGAUACCCUUGUAGUC